CAGUCGAACGAUGAAGCCCUUCGGGGUGGAUUAGUGGCGAACGGGUGAGUAACACGUGGGCAAUCUGCCCUGCACUCUGGGACAAGCCCUGGAAACGGGGUCUAAUACCGGAUACUGAUCGCCUUGGGCAUCCUUGGUGAUCGAAAGCUCCGGCGGUGCAGGAUGAGCCCGCGGCCUAUCAGCUUGUUGGUGAGGUAAUGGCUCACCAAGGCGACGACGGGUAGCCGGCCUGAGAGGGCGACCGGCCACACUGGGACUGAGCCACGAUCAAAACUUAUACGGGAGGCAGCAGUGGGAAAUAUUGCACAAUGGGCGAAAGCUUGAUGCAGCGACGCCGCGUGAGGGAUGACGGCCUUCGGGUUGUAAACCUCUUUCAGCAAGGAAGAAGCGAAAGUGACGGUACCUGCAAAAGAAGCGCCGUCUAACUACGUGCCAGCGGCCGCGGUAAUACGUAGGGCGCGAGCGUUGUCCGUAAUUAUUGGACGUAAAGAGCUCGUAGGCGGCUUGUCGCGUCGUGUUGUAAAAGCCCGGGUCUUAACCCCGUGUCUGCAGUCGAUACGGGGCAG
rnacentral:rRNA from 1 species